CCUCAGCGGCGCGGGCAGGCGAGAGGUGCGGGGCGCUCGCUGAGGAGCCGGCGGCGCGGUCCUCGGGGCGGCGACCACUACCACCGUGAGGGGGGGGCAGGCGGCGAGGCGACGGGCGAGCAGAGCCGCCGCAGGGAUGAGGGAAGACUCCUACUUCUUUGGAAUGCGAGGCCUCGGGCGCUACGGCUGCAUCCCGCAGGAUGGGGGACAGUUCUUGCUCUACUCUAUAAAUGGAGACAACGAUUUAAAGAGGUGUUUUGCAGAGGAAGAUUUUCAUGAAAUCAUUGACUUCAACGAUCUCCCCAAUUCUCUCUUUGCUUGUAAUGUUCACCAGUCUGUGUUUGAAGAUGAGGACAGUAAGGUACGGUGUCAGUUUCCGUAUUUUCAAUGUAAAAGAGACACAUGCCUUGUGUUGGUGUUUAUUGCAGUUCCAAUGAAGCAGAUUUAUCUGUCUUGUACAAAGAAACUGGAUCACAAACAUGACUAAGACAUGAUGCUUAUUUCAAGAGCUUAACAGUCUUUUUGUCAACUUCAAUAAACAAAAAUGUUUUUCUUUUGUU